UACAGAGGGGGCAAGCGUUAUUCGGAAUUAUUGGGCGUAAAGGGCGCGUAGGCGGCCAAGCAAGUCAGGGGUGAAAUCCCUCGGCUCAACCGAGGAAUGGCCUCUGAAACUGCAUGGCUUGAGACCGGGAGAGGGUGGUGGAAUUCCCAGUGUAGCGGUGAAAUGCGUAGAUAUUGGGAGGAACACCGGUGGCGAAGGCGGCCACCUGGACCGGUUCUGACGCUGAUGCGCGAAAGUGUGGGGAGCAAACAGG
rnacentral:rRNA from 1 species